rnacentral:rRNA from 1 species
UGGGGAAUAUUGGACAAUGGGCGCAAGCCUGAUCCAGCAAUGCCGCGUGAGUGAUGAAGGCCUUAGGGUUGUAAAGCUCUUUCGCACGCGACGAUGAUGACGGUAGCGUGAGAAGAAGCCCCGGCUAACUUCGUGCCAGCAGCCGCGGUAAUACGAAGGGGGCUAGCGUUGUUCGGAAUUACUGGGCGUAAAGGGCGCGUAGGCGGCCUGUUUAGUCAGAAGUGAAAGCCCCGGGCUCACCUGGGAAUAGCUUUUGAUACUGGCAGCUUGAGUUCCGGAGAGGAUGGUGGAAUUCCCAGUGUAGAGGUGAAAUUCGUAGAUAUUGGGAAGAACACCGGUGGCGAAGGCGGGCCAUCUGGACGGACACUGACGCUGAGGCGCGAAAGCGUGGGGAGCAAACAGGAUUAGAUACCCUGGUAGUCCACG